rnacentral:rRNA from 1 species
UACAGAGGAGCCAAGCGUUGUCCGGAUUGACUGGGCGUAAAGGGCGUGUAGGCGGUUGGUCAAGUCUGAUGUGAAAGCCCGGGGCUCAGCUCCGGAAGGGCAUCGGAAACUAGCCAGCUGGAGCGCGAUAGAGGAGGGCGGAAUUCCUGGUGUAGCGGUGAAAUGCGUAGAUAUCAGGAGGAACACCGGCGGCGAAGGCGGCCCUCUGGAUCGUUGCUGACGCUGAGACGCGAAAGCGUGGGGAGCAAACAGG